rnacentral:misc_RNA from 1 species
AACAGGCGAGGCCCAUAUAGCGGAGGAUUUGGUGGAGUUUCCUUCCUUGGCGAUAUGGAUAUUGCCUUAGGACUGAGGACAAUUGUGUUCCCGACAGGAGCACAAUACAAUACCAUGUACCUGUAUAGAAAUGCUGAUAUACGGCACGAAUGGAUAGCAUACCUUCAAGCCGGUGCAGGCAUAGUUGCGGAUAGUGAUCCUGAAGAAGAACAUCG